CCGUCGCUCCUACCGAUUGAAUGGUCCGGUGAAGUUUUCGGAUCGCGGCGACGCCGGCGGUUCGCCGCCGGUGUUGUUGUGAGAAGUUCAUUAAACCUUAUCAUUUAGAGGAAGGAGAAGUCGUAACAAGGUUUCCGUAGGUGAACCUGCGGAAGGAUCAUUGAACACACGAUCUGUGAAAAACUGCGUGAAUCGUUUUGUACAAAGAGGGAUCGUGCCCGGAGGCACGAUCGUCGGUGCCCGAGUCGAGAUUCAUGUGCGCUAGCCUUGAUCGUCCCGUUUGGUGCGCGGCGGGAUCGAGUGACUCGGGUUCAACCGUCGGACCGCCCCAUACGCGCAUGGUUUCGAGUCUUCCGGAUUCGGAGUCGGGAGUGCGUCCCCUCCUCCAGCGGAGAGGGAAACUUAAGAUGACUUGACUGAUGGGAGUUCGGGAGUGCCUCGGUGCUCCCGAGAUCUCACGAAAGCGAAAACACAAAUGACUCUCAGCAACGGAUAUCUUGGCUCUUGCAACGAUGAAGAACGCAGCGAAAUGCGAUACCUAGUGUGAAUUGCAGAAUUCCGCGAAUCAUCGAGUUUUUGAACGCAAGUUGCGCCCGAGGCUCGUCUGAGGGCAUGCCUGCCUGAGCGUCCGCUCCGACCCACCCACCAGCCCUGUCCUCCUUCGCAAGAGGAAGGCAGGGACGAGUGCGAGUGGAAUUGGUCGUCCGAGAAUCCGCUCGUCUCCGCCGACGAGUUCGGGAUCGUCGGUCGGCUGAAAACGUGAGCCGUCCGUCAAAACGCACACUGGGACAACGGUGCGUCGCGAGAAGGUGCCGUCCAUCUCCGGUCGUUCUCGACGGGGGAGGGAUGCUUGUUUUAGAGCGACGUGCCUUCCCGGUGGGGUCGAGAUUUGGCGGUUCGGCUAGAGAUUGAACAUGGGGAGCGUCCUGGACACUCCCCCCGCUGAACUCCCUCGGAAGAGAGGGGGACGCGGGGGAUGUCCAGUCCGAACGCAACGUUGCUCGGACCUCAGAUCAGGCAAGACCACCCGCUGAGUUUAAGCAUAUCACUAAGCGGAGGAAAAGAAACUAACAAGGAUUUCCUUAGUAACGGCGAGCGAACCGGAAGUAGCCCA
rnacentral:rRNA from 1 species